AGAGUUUGAUCAUGGCUCAGGACGAACGCUGGCGGCGUGCUUAACACAUGCAAGUCGAACGGUAAGGCCCUUUCGGGGGUACACGAGUGGCGAACGGGUGAGUAACACGUGGGUGAUCUGCCCUGCACUUUGGGAUAAGCCUGGGAAACUGGGUCUAAUACCGAAUACACCUUGCUGGUCGCAUGGCCUGGUGGGGGAAAGCUUUUGCGGUGUGGGAUGGGCCCGCGGCCUAUCAGCUUGUUGGUGGGGUGAUGGCCUACCAAGGCGACGACGGGUAGCCGGCCUGAGAGGGUGUCCGGCCACACUGGGACUGAGAUACGGCCCAGACUCCUACGGGAGGCAGCAGUGGGGAAUACUGCACAAUGGGCGCAAGCCUGAUGCAGCGACGCCGCGUGAGGGAUGACGGCCUUCGGGUUGUAAACCUCUUUCAGUACCGACGAAGCGGAAGUGACGGUAGGUACAGAAGAAGCACCGGCCAACUACGUGCCAGCAGCCGCGGUAAUAC
rnacentral:rRNA from 1 species